ensembl:lncRNA
UGAAAGGGAGGCAGCAGUUUAGAGAAUUACUAAAUUGUUCCGCUUCUGAUGAAUCACUGGUGGCCCGCUAAAUCCGGUUUUGAUUUAAGGCAGAUUGUGUGACGCCUAAAUUAUCUGUUAGAGAGGAAUUCACUUGCUUUGAAAGGACCCUCAGGGACAUUGUCGUCUUCCCACUCUCCUUUGGUGCUGCUCUCUGCCUUGAUUCAGGAAAGCCUGAGCCAUUCCGGAAAAUUCAUCCAAACUGCUGCCCGAGGUCCGGACCCUUAGCCAACACCUGAGGUUCUUUGCACGCACCUCCGGACAAAGCCUGAGAUUCUCCCGCUGGAUCCCGAAGGCGACAAAGCCCAGACUGUCCUGUGAGCAGCCAGCUCUGACUGGAAUUCAGGUCUCGCCGGGCACGUCAGGAACAGGGCACAUCUGGAAAAGCGUUUGCCGAGGCUGUUGCUCCAGCAGGCCCAGACGGUGACCAGGCCUGAGUGGCCUCAAGCCCCGCCCAGGGCUCAGGAGCCAGGGUGGGGGACAGUCUCCCCUUAUUUAGCCUGGCUCAGGCCUGUGGGCUCUGGAGGCUGAGCCCGUGCCACUGUCCAUGGGAGGGACAUGGACCCGCCAAGUCAGGCCACACUGGAGGAGGAGCCGGGGUGGAGGCAGCGCCAUCUCAGAGCCCAAACUCCCAGACUAGUGGGCCCGCAGGGGUGACUCUAGCCCCUCCCAGCUUUUAGCCCGGUGCGUCCUCCCCCAUCUCCUCCCCGUUAUGCAGGAAAGCUGAGACGGUCCUCCCAUGCCCACUCCUCACCCAUCCUAGACCUCUGGGGCCUGGAUCCGCAGCCUUUGUACUUGCUCCUGAGCCAGCAGAACUGGACUGUCCCUCUGGUCACCAGGUCCAUCAGGGGCCCUUCCUGACGGGCAGGCCAAGAACCAGAC